rnacentral:rRNA from 1 species
UACAGAGAGUGCGAACGUUGUUCGGAAUUACUGGGCGUAAAGCGCGUGUAGGCGGUUGUUCAAGUCGGGUGUGAAAGCCUUGAGCUCAACUCAAGAAAUGCACUCGGUACUGGAUGACUAGAGGACCGGAGAGGAUAGUGGAAUUCCCAGUGUAGUGGUGAAAUACGUAGAGAUUGGGAAGAACACCAGUGGCGAAGGCGGCUAUCUGGACGGUUUCUGACGCUAAG